rnacentral:tRNA from 1 species
GCCUGGUUGGCUUAGUCCUUUAAGCGUCUGACUUCAGCUCAGGUCAUGAUCUCGUGGUUCAUGAGUUCGAGCCCCGUGUCGGGCU